AGAAAUUUUCCACUCCGACCCCUAGCCGCCACUUUCUUGUCCCUCCCUUCUCCCAUUAGUCGGCGCACCUGCAUCCUCACAAAGCACACGCGCAUGCAAGCUAUCCCCAUGGCGGCACUCGGUAAGACCUGCCCAGGUCUUCUCCAUCCCCGCCAAGCAUCGUUUCCCUGCAGCCCCGCACCGUGAUGCGCACCAUGUGUUCGAUGUAAUGCCCAACGGGUGCAGCGUGUUGUGGACAACACUGUCACUCGCGUCGUGCUGCACCAAGGUAUGUAGCGUCGUUGUCCCGCACCUGUUGCUUUUGGUGUUCACCAACUAUUCGACAUGAUGCUCAAGCCGAGAAAAUGCAUGGUUCUCGUUGCGGGUUUCAUCGUGCCGCGUCGUUGCUGUGGUCCUUUCCGCGUGGUGCCUCAUGUUCCAGUUGCACGAUGAAGUGCACGACUAGGUCAUCAGCGCGUUGUCGACUUCUCUGUGUCGUGCCAAACCAUGAUACCCCUCCGCUCGCUAUUGCGCAUAUCUGCAUGUCUAGAAUCCUAGCAAGAAAAUAUCCCUCAUUUUUAGGUAAUUGAAGCGAGAUUGAUGAAUAAUAUAUAAAAAUAAUAGGGUUUAUUAUUGUCUCAUAAAAUGAAAUGACAUGGGGCAUGGCCAAGUGGUAAGGCAGCGGGUUUUGGCCCCGUUACUCGGAGGUUCGAAUCCUUUCGUCCUAGAUUUUUCUGAUGAAGCGAAAGAUAGAAUCGUAUUGUGCCCUGCACGACACAAAAGUUUAUUAAAGAGAAUAAUUAUCUCUUAUGAACUCGUAGAUUAGAUGCAUUUCUAAGCAUUUUUUCUUUCUUAGAAAACAAAAAAUAAAGUGUCAAGUCCAGUCAAAUUUAAUAUCUUUAUUUUCAUGAUUUUUUGUCUAUCAGGCACAUUCAGGAUAUGCCCCUACUACUCAUUACUCAUAUGUGUUUUGAAAUUGGAAGUUUUUGGAUAAACUUUAUACCCCGUAUCUAUGAAGUGGGAAUUCUUAGAGGAUCCAUUUGACACCCAAUAUGAAAGAAAAGAAGUACCCCUAUUUAUUUUCCCAAAACUUAUGAUAAAGGACACAUGUUCUCCGCUUGCUCUUCUCAUGUUAUAUCCAAUAGUAAACUUCCCAUAUAACAAUUCUGUAUUGUACACAUACUUUUUGAUUUGAGUAGUUUCAUUAGGAAUGGAACUUGUAAUUGUAAUAGAAGAAGAGGAUUUUCUAGUCAGAAUACGGUGGGAUGUGGCCCCGUGCGACGCUCGCCAAUUUGGCUAAUGUCAUGCUUGUGAGCAAAUGAAUAAUUUCGUUGGAGAAGAAAGUCCGAGAGAUGAUGAUCAUGUGAAAUGAAGGACGUGGAGUGGAGUUUACCACAAGACAAAGUCGGUGGACAAGCCUAAAGACAGACGAGACAAAGACCAAGAUAGGACAUGCUCGCCAAGCAAGUAUCCUCUAACAAACACUAUCAUAGUCUGAAUUCUAAGCAAGACUCGGUUCUAUGCAUAACCAUUAUAUAUGAUAUUUUACUGCAAUUUAUUUGUAGGCUUGUAUUGUGCACUAACAUGUAGGAAUUGAUUGAAACCCUAGAUGCAUGAACUCAGGUUCCUUUUUGAGAUGAAUACUAGAAUGCUAAGUUAAGUAGCUGCUAUGCUAAUUAGGGAUAUCAAUAGAAACCGAGUAAUUUUUCUAGCACUCGUCCGAGGUCAGAAAUUGACUGUAUUCAUUUUAAUAAUGGGAUUAUGAUUAUCUGUGGA